UAUCCUACGGGACGCAGCAGUGAGGAAUAUUGGUCAAUGGCCGGAAGGCUGAACCAGCCAAGCCGCGUGAAGGACGAAGGUGCCAAGCAUUGUAAACUUCUUUUGUCAAGGGACAAAAUCAGGCUCGAGAGCCUGACCGAGGGUACUUGAAGAAAAAGCAUCGGCUAACCCCGUGCCAGCAGCCGCGGUAAUACGGAGGAUGCGAGCGUUAUCCGGAUUUAUUGGGUUUAAAGGGUGCGUAGGCGGAAUAUCAAGUCAGCGGUAAAAAUUCGGGGCUCAACCCCGUCGUGCCGUUGAAACUGAUG
rnacentral:rRNA from 1 species